AAUAUGGGACAAUGGGGGAAACCCUGAUCCAGCCAUGCCGCGUGUGUGAAGAAUGUCUUCGGAUUGUAAAGCACGUGAAGUUGGGAGGAAGGGGUGUUGGCUAAUAUCCAGCAAUAUUGACGUUACCGCAAGAAUAAGCACCGGCUAACUCUGUUCCAGCAGCCGCGGUAAUACAGAGGGUGCAAACGUUAAUCGGAAUUACUGGGCGUAAAGCGCGCGUAGGUGGUUCAGUAAGAUGGGUGUGAAAUCCCCGGGCUUAACCUGGGAACUGCUUUCAUAACUGCUGAGCUAGAGUACGGUAGAGGGUAGUGGAAUUUCCUGUGUAGCGGUGAAAUGCGUAGAUAUAGGAAGGAACACCAGUGGCGAAGGCGACUACCUGGACUGAUACUGACACUGAGGUGCGAAAGCGUGGGGAGCAAACAG
rnacentral:rRNA from 1 species